CAUUAGAUGGCUGAAAUUUUAAGUAUUGGUCUCUUAAACCAAAUUAUAGUGGGGACACUUCUAAUGA
rnacentral:tRNA from 1 species